CGCAAUGGCGGAAGCUUACCAUGCAAGUCGAGCGGGCGUAGCAAUACGUCAGCGGCAGACGGGUGAGUAACGCGUGGGAACGUACCUUUUGGUUCGGAACAACACAGGGAAACUUGUGCUAAUACCGGAUAAGCCCUUACGGGGAAAGAUUUAUCGCCGAAAGAUCGGCCCGCGUCUGAUUAGCUAGUUGGUGAGGUAAUGGCUCACCAAGGCGACGAUCAGUAGCUGGUCUGAGAGGAUGAUCAGCCACAUUGGGACUGAGACACGGCCCAAACUCCUACGGGAGGCAGCAGUGGGGAAUAUUGGACAAUGGGGGCAACCCUGAUCCAGCCAUGCCGCGUGAGUGAUGAAGGCCCUAGGGUUGUAAAGCUCUUUUGUGCGGGAAGAUAAUGACGGUACCGCAAGAAUAAGCCCCGGCUAACUUCGUGCCAGCAGCCGCGGUAAUACGAAGGGGGCUAGCGUUGCUCGGAAUCACUGGGCGUAAAGGGUGCGUAGGCGGGUCUUUAAGUCAGGGGUGAAAUCCUGGAGCUCAACUCCAGAACUGCCUUUGAUACUGAAGAUCUUGAGUCCGGGAGAGGUGAGUGGAACUGCGAGUGUAGAGGUGAAAUUCGUAGAUAUUCGC
rnacentral:rRNA from 1 species